UCUGAGAGGAUGAUCAGCCACACCGGGACUGAGACACGGCCCGGACUCCUACGGGAGGCAGCAGUGGGGAAUAUUGGACAAUGGGGGAAACCCUGAUCCAGCCAUGCCGCGUGUGUGAAGAAGGCCUUUUGGUUGUAAAGCACUUUAAGCAGUGAAGAAGACUCCAUGGUUAAUACCCAUGGACGAUGACAUUAGCUGCAGAAUAAGCACCGGCUAACUCUGUGCCAGCAGCCGCGGUAAUACAGAGGGUGCAAGCGUUAAUCGGAAUUACUGGGCGUAAAGGGAGCGUAGGUGGCUCGAUAAGUCAGAUGUGAAAUCCCCGGGCUCAACCUGGGAACUGCAUCUGAUACUGUUGAGCUAGAGUAUGUGAGAGGAAGGUAGAAUUCCAGGUGUAGCGGUGAAAUGCGUAGAGAUCUGGAGGAAUACCGAUGGCGAAGGCAGCCUUCUGGCAUAAUACUGACACUGAGGCUCGAAAGCGUGGGUAGCAAACAGGAUUAGAUACCCUGGUAGUCCACGCCGUAAACGAUGUCUACUAGUCGUUGGGUCCCUUGAGGACUUAGUGACGCAGCUAACGCAAUAAGUAGACCGCCUGGGGAGUACGGCCGCAAGGUUAAAACUCAAAUGAAUUGACGGGGGCCCGCACAAGCGGUGGAGCAUGUGGUUUAAUUCGAUGCAACGCGAAGAACCUUACCUGGUCUUGACAUAUCUAGAAUCCUGCAGAGAUGCGGGAGUGCCUUCGGGAAUUAGAAUACAGGUGCUGCAUGGCUGUCGUCAGCUCGUGUCGUGAGAUGUUGGGUUAAGUCCCGCAACGAGCGCAACCCUUGUCCUUAGUUACCAGCGGGUUAAGCCGGGAACUCUAAGGAUACUGCCAGUGACAAACUGGAGGAAGGCGGGGACGACGUCAAGUCAUCAUGGCCCUU
rnacentral:rRNA from 1 species